rnacentral:rRNA from 1 species
UACGAAGGGGGCAAGCGUUGUUCGGAAUUACUGGGCGUAAAGCGCGUGUAGGCUGCGACGUAAGUCAGGCGUGAAAGCCCUCAGCUUAACUGAGGAAGUGCACUUGAUACUGCGUCGCUAGAGUGUCGGAGGGGGUGGCGGAAUUCCCGGUGUAGAGGUGAAAUUCGUAGAUAUUCGCAGGAACACCAGUGGCGAAGGCGGCUUACUGGUCCAUUACUGACGCUGAGGCACGAAAGCAUGGGGAGCAAACAGG